rnacentral:lncRNA from 1 species
GUUCUCCAAACUGUUCUGCCUUCAUCCUGCCACCACGGCACUGCUCCUCCUUGGGCCAGACAGUGCAAGCAGCAGGUGACCCCCAGUUUAUUCGCUCACAUUUAAUAUGACCUCCAGGCCACUCUUAUUUUGAUAUUGUUGGAUGUUACCUAAAAGAGGUACCUAAAAGAGCCUUGGAUUUCUCUUUUAUUUGUGUGGCUAUGAAGAGUUUAAGCAGAACUACUGUCAAACAAAAAAUAAAGCCACCAAACCAACAAAACNCUGGAGGUCUUUAAAAGACGUUUAGAUGUAGAGCUUAGCGAUAUGGUUUAGUGGAGUACUUAGUGUUAGGUCGGAGGUUGGACUCGAUGAUCUUGAGGUCUCUUCCAACCUAGAAAUCUGUGAUACUGUGAAAACCCCACCAAAUUCAGAAUGCUGUUUGCAGACUUAAUGAUGUCAAAGAUAAGCCAUGUAAAAGGCACAGAUAUGCUAUGGAUACAGAUGGGACUGGAGCAUGUUUAUGAAACUGAUAGAUCAUGUUUAAUCAGUGGUUUCCUGGAGUGA